AUGUCACUUAAGGAUAAAGAGGAACUUCACAACAAAUCAAGUGGUGCCUAUAAAGCCUCAUGUGAAGCCCCUACAUCAUCGAGUGAGAAACAAGACUUCAAUGAAGAAUUGAGCUUAAUGGUGAAGAAUUUCAACAAGUUCUACAAGAGUAGAAGCAAAGAUAGAAGCUCCAAGUCAAGGUCCUACAAUGACAAAAGAUCUUCUAGUCGAGAGCGAAACUGUUACAAUUGUGGAAGACCCGGACACUAUUCCAAUGAGUGUACGGCUCCCUACAAGAGAAGAGAAGAUUCUCCAAAAAGAAGAAGCAAAAGAUCAUCACCAAGAGAGAGAAGGAGUAGAGAUGAUAGUUAUGAACGAAGAUACUCACGGAGAAGCAAGGAUUCGGAAAGGAAGGAAAAAUCAUCAAGGAGCUACACAAGCAGAAGACAUCAAGCUCAUGUUGGUGAAUGGGUAUCCGGCUCCGACUCCGACAGCCACUUCGAGAGAAGUUAUCACUCUGACUCCGAAGAUACUCAAGAUGAAGGUGUUGCCGGUCUAGCACUUGUGUCAACUAACUCCUACGACAUAUUUGACUCACCAAAUGAGGGAAUUGGAAGAUGCUUCAUGGCCAAAGGCCCUAAGGUAACACACCCCGAGUAUGUUGAUUUCAAUAGUGAUGAAGAUGACUUGUUAGGUGAUGAUUUGCUUGUUGACAACUCUAGUGAUGAAUACUAUGAUGAAAGACAAAUUAAUCAUGCUAAUCAGGAUAAAACGAAUGACAAUGAUAAGGAGAAGAUUGAGGCUCUAACUAAAGAACUAAAAACUCUUAAGUUAGCUCAUGACAUUAUCUUCAAAAAUCAUCGAGAACUUUUAAGAGCUCAUGAGAAAUUACGCUUUAAAAAGCUCAAUCUUGAACAAGAACAUGAGUUCUUAAAAGCAAUCAAUGAUGAUCUCCGCAAGAAAAGUUCUUCUUACAUUGCCAAGCGUUUACUCUUAUCCACUUACAUGCCUCAAGUCAAGUCUAACAAAAAAGAUUCUUCCUCUAGUAGUAACAAUGAUCAUGUUAAAUCCAAUAUUGUUGCUUCUAGUAGUUUUCUUGAUUCCACUAAUGAUUCUCUUAGCCAAGUUACACUUGAGCAAGAAAAUAGCUUAUUGAAGGGAAUUAUAAAAAAAGGAGUGUACAACAGCCUUGUCGGGAGUAAGCAAUUCGAGUAA
rnacentral:rRNA from 1 species